UGUCCCCUUCCUUCCAGGGCCUGGAUGACUACGGGGCACGGGCCGUGAGCAGCCCAGAAGUGGAAGUAGCGCGGUUCUGAGCCCCUGGCGAGAGCAGAAUCCCUUUGCUCAUGUCCAGCUAAGGCCGACAGUGACCAAUGACAGGUCUGCCCCCCUCCUCCGAUGACAGUCCUGCUGCUCACACCGUGAGCAAACCCUGCCUUGCUGCCUGAAGGUGGUGGCCAGCGUCACUGAGGCGGUGGCCUCCAGGACAAGGCAAACAUAGGGGCUGGUGGCCCCGCCAUGGACCAGAAUCGGGCUGCAAGGUCACAUA